GUGACCUAGCUAACUGAAAUCACAUUUGUGUCAUUUGUGAUGUCGUAAGGGAAAAUCAUGAUACUACCUUACUAUUAGUGUCGUCCAAAACUGGUGCCAGAAGACUCGGUAAGGCCAGAGACGCAAACGUUAGUCGUCCUAAUCAGGCGUAAAGGGUGUGUAGGCUGCUUUGAAAGUUUUAUUUUUUAAAAUUUAGUCUAAACCAAUACAGAAAAACUAAUUUUAUUUUAUGGUAUAGUUUUAAUAACUAAUUCUAUUUUAUGAUUUAAGUUCCCCUUUGAUUCUAAUCUGAAUCCCCUACUCUCUUUCUUUCUAUUUCAAGAUGCAAGAGGGUGGUGAUGGAUAAGGUUAGAUCGAGAGGAGCGUAAUGUUAUCUUAUUUAAUUUAUUAUGAAAUAGUAUAUAAUUAAGGUUACUUAGUAAAAAAUAAAAUGAAUUAAAGCUAGAAUCAAAUAGGGGAUAUAUUAAAUAAUACUUAGAGUAGGGAUUAAAUCCUUAAAAACUUAAGGGAAUACUAAUGGUGAAAGCUUUUUUUCUACUAAUGAUUGACGCUGAGAAACGAAGGGGAGGAUAGGAAAUAGGAUUAGAGACCCAGUUACCCCUCUCUGUCAACGAUGAAUGGUGGUUACUAGUUUUUAUAUAAUCUGGUGGCGAUGUUAACACGAUAACCAUUCCGCCUUGUGAGUACGACUGCAAAGUUGAAAACA
rnacentral:rRNA from 1 species